AGAAUUGAUCUGGUCAGGAUGAACGCUGGCGGCGUGCUUAACACAUGCAAGUCGAACGAAGCACUGGAACUGAUUCUUCGGACUGACGUCCUUGACUUAGUGGCGGACGGGUGAGUAACGCGUGGAUAACCUGCCUGUAUCUGGGGGAUAACAGUUAGAAAUGACUGCUAAUACCGCAUAAGCGCACAGUACCGCAUGGUAAAGUGUGAAAAGCCUUGUGCGGAUACAGAUGGAUCCGCGUUAGAUUAGCCAGUUGGCGGGGUAACGGCCCACCAAAGCGACGAUCUAUAGCCGGCCUGAGAGGGCGACCGGCCACAUUGGGACUGAGACACGGCCCAAACUCCUACGGGAGGCAGCAGUGGGGAAUAUUGCACAAUGGGGGAAACCCUGAUGCCAGCGACGCCGCGUGAGCGAUGAAGUAUUUCGGUAUGUAAAGCUCUAUCAGCAGGGAAGAAAAUGACGGUACCUGACUAAGAAGCCCCGGCUAACUACGUGCCAGCCGCUGC
rnacentral:rRNA from 1 species